GAUGAACGCUGGCGGCGUGCUUAACACAUGCAAGUCGAACGGAAAGGCUCCUGCUUGCAGGGGUACUCGAGUGGCGAACGGGUGAGUAACACGUGGGUGAUCUGCCCUGCACUUCGGGAUAAGCCUGGGAAACUGGGUCUAAUACCGGAUAGGACGAUGGUUUGGAUGCCAUUGUGGAAAGUUUUUUCGGUGUGGGAUGAGCUCGCGGCCUAUCAGCUUGUUGGUGGGGUAAUGGCCUACCAAGGCGUCGACGGGUAGCCGGCCUGAGAGGGUGUACGGCCACAUUGGGACUGAGAGACGGCCCAGACUCCUACGGGAGGCAGCAGUGGGGAAUAUUGCACAAUGGGCGCAAGCCUGAUGCAGCGACGCCGCGUGGGGGAUGACGGCCUUCGGGUUGUAAACUCCUUUCGCUAGGGACGAAGCGCAAGUGACGGUACCUGGAGAAGAAGCACCGGCUAACUACGU
rnacentral:rRNA from 1 species